GACGUAGGGCGCGAGCGUUGUCCGGAUUUAUUGGGCGUAAAGAGCUCGUAGGCGGCUUGUCGCGUCGACCGUGAAAACUUGGGGCUCAACCCCAAGCCUGCGGUCGAUACGGGCAGGCUCGAGUUCGGUAGGGGGAGACUGGAAUUCCUGGUGUAGCGGUGAAAUGCGUAGAUAUCCGGAGGAACACCGGUGGCGAAGGCGGCUUCCUGGACCGAUACUGACGCUGAGGCGCGAAAGCUAGGGGAGCAAACGGG
rnacentral:rRNA from 1 species